rnacentral:rRNA from 1 species
AGUGAACGCUGGCGGCAGGCCUAACACAUGCAAGUCGAACGGAAGAACAGUGCUUGCUUGUUGUUCCGGCUGGGGAGUGGUGGGUGGGUCAUGUGAAUAUCCGUGUCUAUUGUUUCGUAGGGCCUGAAGCAGGGGCUACUACGACAUUAUCGCAUAUGACGUACGGGGGUGAGCUUGGGAUCUUAGGCUCUUGUGUGAGUGUAUGUGCGGAUGUCGGAUUAGCUAGUUGGCGGGGUACCGGCCCACCAAGGCGACGAUCCGUAGCUGGUCUGAGAGGAUGAUCAGCCACACUGGAACUGAGACACGGUCCAGACUCCUACGGGAGGCAGCAGUGGGGAAUAUUGGACAAUGGGCGCAAGCCUGAUCCAGCCAUGCCGCGUGUGUGAAGAAGGCCUUCGGAUUGUAAAGCCCUUUUGGUGGGUAAGAAAAGCAGUAGGUUAAUACCCCGCUGUUCUGACGGUACCCAAAGAAUAAGCACCGGCUAACUUCGUG